rnacentral:rRNA from 1 species
AACGAACGCUGGCGGCGUGCUUAACACAUGCAAGUCGAACGCGAAAGGGACUUCGGCCUGAGUAAAGUGGCGCACGGGUGAGUAACGCGUAGAUAACCUGUCUUCAUGUCUGGAAUAAUACGCCGAAAGGGGUACUAAUACCGGAUAUUCUUGCUUUUCAUAAGUUAUGCAAGCAAAGGUGGCCUCUGCAUAUGCUACUGCAUGAAGAGGGGUCUGCGUACCAUUAGCUAGUAGGUGGGGUAAUGGCCUACCUAGGCGACGAUGGUUAGCGGGUCUGAGAGGAUGAUCCGCCACACUGGCACUGGAACACGGGCCAGACUCCUACGGGAGGCAGCAGUGAGGAAUAUUGCGCAAUGGGGAAACCCUGACGCAGCGACGCCGCGUGAGUGAGGAAGGCCUUCGGGUCGUAAAGCUCUGUCAAGAGGAAAGAAGUGUACAAUGGCUAAUACCUGUUGUAUUUGACGGUACCUCUAAAGGAAGCACCGGCUAACUCCGUGCCAGCCGCGGC